CAAUAGCGUAUAUUAAAGUUGUUGCGGUUAAAAAGCUCGUAGUUGGAUUUCUGCCGAGGACGACCGGUCCGCCCUCUGGGUGUGUAUCUGGUUUGGCCUGGGCAUCUUCUUGGAGAACGUAGCUGCACUUGACUGUGUGGUGCGGUGUCCAGGACUUUUACUUUGAGGAAAUUAGAGUGUUUCAAGCAGGCACACGCUUUGAAUACAUUAGCAUGGAAUAAUAAGAUAGGACCUCGGUUCUAUUUUGUUGGUUUCUAGAGCUGAGGUAAUGAUUAAUAGGGAUAGUUGGGGGCAUUCGUAUUUAACUGUCAGACGUGAAAUUCUUGGAUUUGUUAAAGACGGACUACUGCGAAAGCAUUUGCCAAGGAUGUUUUCAUUGA
rnacentral:rRNA from 1 species